rnacentral:rRNA from 1 species
AUUGAACGCUGGCGGCAGGCUUAACACAUGCAAGUCGAGCGGUAACAUUUCUAGCUUGCUAGAAGAUGACGAGCGGCGGACGGGUGAGUAAUACUUAGGAAUCUACCUAGUAGUGGGGGAUAGCUCGGGGAAACUCGAAUUAAUACCGCAUACGACCUACGGGAGAAAGGGGGCAACUUGUUGCUCUCGCUAUUAGAUGAGCCUAGGUCGGAUUAGCUAGUUGGUGAGGUAAUGGCUCACCAAGGCGACGAUCCGUAACUGGUCUGAGAGGAUGAUCAGUCACACUGGAACUGAGACACGGUCCAGACUCCUACGGGAGGCAGCAGUGGGGAAUAUUGGACAAUGGGCGAAAGCCUGAUCCAGCCAUGCCGCGUGUGUGAAGAAGGUCUUCGGAUUGUAAAGCACUUUAAGUUGGGAGGAAGGGUUGUAGAUUAAUACUCUGCAAUUUUGACGUUACCGACAGAAUAAGCACCGGCUAACUCUGUGCCAGCAGCCGCGGUAAUACAGAGGGUGCAAGCGUUAAUCGGAAUUACUGGGCGUAAAGCGCGCGUAGGUGGUUUGUUAAGUUGGAUGUGAAAUCCCCGGGCUCAACCUGGGAACUGCAUUCAAAACUGACUGACUAGAGUAUGGUAGAGGGUGGUGGAAUUUCCUGUGUAGCGGUGAAAUGCGUAGAUAUAGGAAGGAACACCAGUGGCGAAGGCGACCACCUGGACUAAUACUGACACUGAGGUGCGAAAGCGUGGGGAGCAAACAGG